UCUGUGUCCACUCCUGUGUCCUCCUUCAUAGGACUUUGCAACCUGUUUCCAAAAGUUUUGGAGAGAGAAAGGCCAUUUCUACUAAGUGUUCCCUGAAUGUGGUUUCUAUGGAAUGUAUGAUAAGAUCCUGCUUUUUCGCCACGACCCUACCUCUGAAAACAUCCUUCAGCUGGUGAAAACGGCUAGUGAUAUCCAGGAAGGAGAUCUUAUUGAAGUGGUCUUGUCAGAAGAGACUGGAGGAGGAAAGAAAGAAAAGACAAAACUGAAGAUACCGUCAAAAUCAAUGAAAUAAGUCAUCAUGGCUGCCCGUGUUUGCAAUGGCAAGAUGAAGACUGGGUAGUGACUGUUGAUCUAAACACAUCAUGGGAAUGAAUUCCUUUUGCUUGAGGUGAAGGAACUUGCUUUACUUGGAAAGAUGCCAAAUGUCCAUGAUUGGUGUCACAUAACACUCCAGUUCAGUGUCUCAGCCGUGCCACCAUCUGCCCAGUGCUCUCAUUCUGCUGGUUGGCAUGUUGUUUACUUGCUUUUAAUAUGCAACCCAUAUAAAAAUUUCUCAUCAGCUGCUGAAAUUAGAAAUGCAGUUGUUUUAAGGCUUAAACAUCAAUAGCACUAUUUAUUAUGCCCACAUGGAGGAAUAAAAUAGAAAGAUGUAUUUGAAAAGAGCAAAUACUAUACCAGAAUGUAUUUGUACCUACACUUUUUAAAGUACAUUAAUGACAGUGAUAGUCUGUUAUCAAA